rnacentral:rRNA from 1 species
CACGUAGGGGGCGAGCGUUGUCCGGAUUUAUUGGGCGUAAAGAGCUCGUAGGCGGCUCGGUAAGUGAGGUGUGAAAACUCCAGGCUCAACCUGGAGACGCCACCUCAUACUGCCGUGGCUAGAGUCCGGUAGGGGAGCAUGGAAUUCCUGGUGUAGCGGUGAAAUGCGCAGAUAUCAGGAGGAACACCAAUAGCGAAGGCAGCUCGCUGGGACGUUACUGACACUGAGGCGCGAAAGCGUGGGGAGCGAACAGG